rnacentral:rRNA from 1 species
UACGGAGGAUCCAAGCGUUAUCCGGAUUUAUUGGGUUUAAAGGGUGCGUAGGCGGAAUGAUAAGUCAGUGGUGAAAGCCUGCAGCUUAACUGUAGAAUUGCCGUUGAUACUGUUGUUUCUUUGAGUAUAUUUGAUGUGGGCGGAAUGUGUCAUGUAGCGGUGAAAUGCUUAGAUAUGACACAGAACACCGAUUGCGAAGGCAGCUCACAAAAACUAUAACUGACGCUGAGGCACGAAAAGCGUGGGGAUCAAACAGG